GAUGAACGCUAGCUACAGGCUUAACACAUGCAAGUCGAGGGGAAACGACAUCGAAAGCUUGCUUUUGAUGGGCGUCGACCGGCGCACGGGUGAGUAACGCGUAUCCAACCUGCCCAUCACUUGGGGAUAACCUUGCGAAAGUAAGACUAAUACCCAAUGAUAUCUCUAGAAGACAUCUGAAAGAGAUUAAAGAUUUAUCGGUGAUGGAUGGGGAUGCGUCUGAUUAGCUUGUUGGCGGGGUAACGGCCCACCAAGGCAACGAUCAGUAGGGGUUCUGAGAGGAGGGCCCCCCCCAUGGGACCUGGGACACGGUCAAACUUCCACCGGAGGCAGCAGUGAGGAAUAUUGGUCAAUGGGCGAGAGCCUGAACCAGCCAAGUAGCGUGCAGGAAGACGGCCCUAUGGGUUGUAAACUGCUUUUAUAAGGGAAUAAAGUGAGAGUCGUGACUCUUUUUGUAUGUACCUUAUGAAUAAGGACCGGCUAAUUCCGUG
rnacentral:rRNA from 1 species